GGGCGGUUGGCGCAAUGGUAGCGCGUUGGUUUUCGGAACGAGAGACACCAAAGGUUGUGGGUUCGAGCCCCAUGCUGCUCG
rnacentral:tRNA from 1 species